CCUACGGUGGGCAGCAGUGAGGAAUAUUGGUCAAUGGGCGCGAGCCUGAACCAGCCAAGUCGCGUGAAGGAUGACUGCCCUACGGGUUUUAAACUUCUUUUACAAGGGAAUAACGUGUGGCUCGUGCGCCUUUUUGUAUGUAUUCUAUGAAUAAGACUCCGCUAACUCUGUGCCAGCAGCGGCGGUCAUACGUAGGGUCCGAGCGUUAUCCGGAUUUAUUGGGUUUAAAGGGAGCGUAGAUGGGUUGUUAAGUCAGUUGUGAAAGUUUGCGGCUCAACCGGAAAAUUGCAAUUGAUACUGGAAGUCUUGAGUACAGGUGAGGUAGGCGGAAUUCGUGGUGUAGCGGUGAAAUGCUUAGAUAUCACGAAGAACUCCGAUGGCGAAGGCAGUUUACUAGACUGCCACUGACACUGAGGCUCGAAAGUGUGGGUAUCAAACAGGAUUAGAUACCCUUGUAGUC
rnacentral:rRNA from 1 species